CGACAAUGGGCACAUCAAUCUGUUCAGGGCGGGUCUGACAUCAUGCCUGUAAAGUCUGGUACUGAACAGACUGGAUUUCAUUGAGUUAUACUAAUUUGUUUCUUCAUGGCGUGACAUCAAAGUUCGCCAUGCUGCUGGGGUCACACCCUUUUGCGAAAAGUCACAGUUUUCACUGUAACCCAAGACCAACUCCUUAAGGCUUUCCUGGAGAAAUUUGAGGCUGCAGAUGUCACCCAUCACUAUACUGUACCCCAAAGUGUAAAACAUGACAUUUCCUGUUCCCACUAGGUGGCGCUGUCCUUGAUGUCAAAUAUGGCAGUUGAAAUAUGUUCAGGGGUGGAGCCUUAUCAUAUGUGUGCUCUUUGGUCCAGAUUGGAACAUGUAUGACAGAAUGAGAGGCAAUAAGAUUUUCAUGGCGAGUCAUCGAAAUUCGCCAUGGCGCCACGGCCUCAUAGUAUUGUGAAAACUCAAAAGCUCCGCAAUUUAACAUGGCACAAGGGUGUAGUUGACACUGUCCAAAUUUGGAGCUUAUAGGAACAAAUGCCAAGGAGGAGUUCGUUAAAGUUCGAGGCAUGGAAAUGGCAAAAUUAGAGACAAAAUGUCACCUUCUCUUCCAAAUGGCGGACUUCCUGUUGGGUUUGCGUCAAUGGGCCCACUGACUUUUUUGUUCGUCUUGGCAUGAUACACAUGUGUGCCAAAUUUCAUACAUGUAGCUCAAACGAUGUGGUCGUAGGGCUGCAUUUAACAAGGCAUAGGUGGCGCUCUAGAGCCAUUUCCCAGUGCUCAUAUGUAAAACCAUUAAAAUACAAAAUUUUUCACCAGACCUGGCAUGUGUGCAAAAUUUCAUGAGUUUUUGAGCAUGUUUAGGCCCUCAAAAAGGCCCUUGUUUCGCCUGAAUAAUAAUAAUAAUAAUAAUAAUAAGAAACGGAGCAGAUACAAUAGGGCCUUCGCACUCUCAGUGCUCGGGCCCUAAUAAUAAUAAUAAUAAUAAUAAUAAUAAUAAACAGAGCAAUUACAAUAGGGCCUUCGCACUGUCAGUGCUCGGGCCCUAAUAAUAAGAAACGGAGCAGAUACAAUAGGGCCUUCGCACUCUCAGUGCUCGGGCCCUAAUAAGAAACGGAGCAGAUACAAUAGGGCCUUCGCACUCUCAGUGCUCGGGCCCUAAUAAUAAUAAUAAUAAUAAUAAUAAUAAUAAUAAUAAUAAUAAUAAUAAGAAACGGAGCAGAUACAAUAGGGCCUUCGCACUCUCGGUGCUCGGGCCCUAAUAAGAA
ensembl:lncRNA